UACAGAGGUCCCAAGCGUUGUUCGGAUUCAUUGGGCGUAAAGGGUGCGUAGGCGGCGCGGUAAGUCGGGUGUGAAAUCUCGGGGCUUAACUCCGAAACUGCAUUCGAUACUGGGAGUCUCGAGUCCGGGAGAGGUGAGUGGAACUGCGAGUGUAGAGGUGAAAUUCGUAGAUAUUCGCAAGAACACCAGUGGCGAAGGCGGCUCACUGGCCCGGUACUGACGCUGAGGUGCGAAAGCGUGGGGAGCAAACAGG
rnacentral:rRNA from 1 species